rnacentral:sRNA from 1 species
AAGAUGCCAAAUGUAAACAAAUGCCGUAUCUUUUUGUAUGAUAGGUUGGACAGCACUUCAUGAAGCUAGUGUAGGAGGAUUUUAUCGGACAGCAAGUGAACUAUUAAAAGGUGGAGCAGAUGUAAAUAUCAAAGGAUUAUACCAGAUUACUCCCCUACAUGAUGCAGUGAUGAAUGGACAUUAUAAGGUGGCAGAGUUACUUCUUCUGAAUGGAGCUGAUCCAUUAUUUAGAAAUGAUGAUGGAAAAUGUGCUUUGGAUGAGGCCAAGGAUUUAUGUAUGAAGCGUCUCCUUGAGAGAUAUAUCCCUAAACAUCAAAAAUGCCUUACAUCAGCUCAAAGGAGUAGCAUUGACCCACUAGACAUAGAGGAUGUGUACCAACACAAGGAAUGAAAACAGGUGGGAUCAACAAGAGGAAUGCCAGAGGGGAAAGCCAGCUUCAUUUAGCCGUCAGAAGAGGAAAUCUGUCCCUAGUGAAAGCCCUGAUAGAAUCUGGAGCAGAUGUGAAUCUAAACGAUAAUGCAGGUUGGACACCACUUCAUGAGGCAUCUAAUGAAGGAUCUAUUGAUAUAAUUGUAGAGUUAUUAAAAGCUGGUGCUAAGGUUAAUUGUGAAAAUAUAGAUGGAAUUCUGCCCUUACAUGAUGCUGUUGCAAACAAUCAUUUAAAGGCAGCUGAGAUUCUACUACAAAAUGGAGCAAACCCUAAUCAAAAAGAUCAAAAACAGAAGAGUGCUUUGGAUGAAGCAGAUGAUGAAAAAAUGAAAGAAUUACUAAGAUCUUAUGGUGCUAUUGAGACUGUUAAUAGAGAUGAGAGUGAUGCUAUAGUCAAUGAAAAAAUUCCUGCUGUCCAGUCUAAAAGACAUAAACAGUGUUUUUGUGAUGAUGGCAAAACUAUUGACUCAUCUUCCCUUUCACACCAAGAAAGAUCAAGCGAAAGCCUUUCUGUGCAUCAGACCCUCAGUGCCAUUCUACAAGAUAUAGAAGAAAAACAAGAAUAUUUAUUAGAGUUUGAAAUAAGAAACCCUGAAGAUGCAGAACAAUACAUUGAAAAGAUGUUAAAGAUAAAAAAGAUUAUGGAUAAUGUGCUUGCCAAGCAGAAAGCAGAAAGGGAUGAUCUGGCUAAAAAAUACAGGGUAUCCAUAGAGUCAUUUAAGCAUGGAGCCCUGAGAGAACAAUUGGCCAACUUGGCUGCAAGACAGAAGAGCCUUUUAGUUGUGGCAAAAAAACAGAAAAAAAUAAGCCUGAAAAUUCAAAACUGUAAGAAUGUUACAUCAUUGCCUUGUCUUAGUUUAAGGAAGCUCCCACCCAGAUCAGAAAUCUCUAGUGAAAAGGACAGCCAAGAGCUCACCAGUCUGGAAAAUUUAGAGCAUCCCCAAUCAGGUUCACUUUCUCCUGUUUCUGGAAGCAUGCAGGAAACACAAUUGUCUCUGGAAACUUGGAACUACAGCCAAAAUACCAACAUUUGUCUAAAUUCAGAGGCAGUGAGAAGGGGAGAAUUUUCUGGAAAUGAUAUGAAUUCUAAACAAAAUGUCAGUGAUUGUACCUUGGAUGGUUUUCCAAAAUCCAGACAUUCAGAUGGCACAGAGAAGAAUAAAUUACCAUCCCAACCUGUUGCUUUUAUUGGUCAAACAGAAUAUUCACAGAAAGAGAAUGAUCUUACAGAAGCUACAGACAAAGACCAUGAAUUCUAUGUUUCUUCCCCAGUAAUCGGCAAAUUAAAUAUUUCAGAAACUGCAAGUGUCCUUGCUGAAAAUGCUGCCCAUCCAUCAAAUAUUAUUGGUGAUCAGGACCUUUCCAAUUAUGAUCCCAAAAGAGGAAACAGAAAAACAAGUUCCCAGCAAUCACCUACAGGGGCAUCAGAAUCUCUGGCACAUCAAGGGAUUGCUGUCUUAGGCAGUGAUACAGUGCAUCAGAUGAAACCAUAUCUUAAAAAAUCAGUUUCUGUUGUUCCAUGUGCAGAUGACAGUCAGAUCUCCUCUUCCUCUGGAUCUGGGCAACAAGAUACAAUAAAAAAGGCUUUAAACUACAGUAGAGCUCCUAAAAAGAAAUGUAUUCAGAUAAAAGAUUUGAUAUUACUAGGAAGAAUUAACCCAGGAAAUAACAUUCUGGAAUUCAAAACACAGGAGACUACCCACAAAGCCAGUAUUUUAUUGAAUGGUAAACUUAAGGUAGAAAGUGGUCAGAUUUAUAAAAACCCAGUCACCUGGCUCAAGGAUCUUCUGGGAGGCAACAGUUAUGUGACCUGGAAUUAUGCUUGGAGUAAGGUAACGUAUCUUGGGAAGGAGCUUUUAAAGUAUGUUUCUGAGGAUGUACCCAUACGUCCAGAACCAAACUCAGUACCUCAGCAAUAUCAACCUUGUCUUCCAGAAGUUGCUUGUUUAGAUGACCCAGUACAGGAACCAAACAAAUCAAUGUUUGAGAAAACAAAAUUUGGACAAGGAACUUCCAGAGAGUCAAUGCAAAGCAUCCCACGUUAUCUACAAAUAAAUGAAAUACUAUUAAUCAGUGAUCAAGAAUUUCUCCCAUGCCACAUAAUGGAUCAGCAUUGGAAGUUUUGUGUGGAAUGUGAGGAACUGACACCCUAAAACCUUGGUUUCUUAAUAUUUUAUUGGAUAUUUGUUCAAAUUAUCAACAAACAUUUAUAUUUCAUCUUGUAUAAUCUGGUGGGCCUAUUUUAACAUACACUUUAUGAGUUGCUAUUUAGGAUGUAUGUUUACUGUUCUUAAGAUGUAUGUAACUGUUCAACAAUUAUAUAAGAUUAAUGCUUUUUUGCCAUUGAAGUAAAGGCACAUUUGAACUAGACCAUAUUGAUUGGCUCUCUGGCUUUCU